rnacentral:rRNA from 1 species
UACGUAGGGUGCGAGCGUUGUCCGGAUUUAUUGGGUUUAAAGGGUGCGUAGGCGGCCUAAUAAGUCAGUGGUGAAAGCCUCCAGCUUAACUGGAGAACUGCCAUUGAUACUGUUAGGCUUGAGUAUACUUGAGGUAGGCGGAAUUGACAGUGUAGCGGUGAAAUGCGUAGAUAUCUGGAGGAACACCGGUGGCGAAGGCGGCAUCCUGGACCAAUUCUGACGCUGAGGAGCGAAAGCCAGGGGAGCAAACGGG